rnacentral:piRNA from 1 species
UACUUUACCAAUAGGUAAAUCGGAUGUGA